AUGACGAGUGGCGGACGGGUGAGUAAUGCUUGGGAAUCUAGCUUAUGGAGGGGGAUAACUACGGGAAACUGUAGCUAAUACCGCGUAAUAUCGAAAGAUUAAAGUGUGGGACCUUCGGGCCACAUGCCAUAGGAUGAGCCCAAGUGGGAUUAGGUAGUUGGUGAGGUAAAGGCUCACCAAGCCGACGAUCUCUAGCUGGUCUGAGAGGAUGACCAGCCACACUGGGACUGAGACACGGCCCAGACUCCUACGGGAGGCAGCAGUGGGGAAUAUUGCGCAAUGGGGGCAACCCUGACGCAGCCAUGCCGCGUGAAUGAAGAAGGCCUUCGGGUUGUAAAGUUCUUUCGGUAGCGAGGAAGGCACUUAGUUUAAUAAACUAGGUGAUUGACGUUAACUACAGAAGAAGCACCGGCUAACUCCGUGCCAGCAGCCGCGGUAAUACGGAGGGUGCGAGCGUUGAUCGGAAUAACUGGGCGUAAAGGGCACGCAGGCGGUGACUUAAGUGAGGUGUGAAACCCCGGGCUUA
rnacentral:rRNA from 1 species